CGAACGCUGGCGGCGUGCUUAACACAUGCAAAUCGAACGGAAAGGCCCUGCUUUUGUGGGGUGCUCGAGUGGCGAACGGGUGAGUAACACGUGAGUAACCUGCCCUUGACUUUGGGAUAACUUCAGGAAACUGGGGCUAAUACCGGAUAGGAGCUCCUGCUGCAUGGUGGGGGUUGGAAAGUUUCGGCGGUUGGGGAUGGACUCGCGGCUUAUCAGCUUGUUGGUGGGGUAGUGGCUUACCAAGGCUUUGACGGGUAGCCGGCCUGAGAGGGUGACCGGCCACAUUGGGACUGAGAUACGGCCCAGACUCCUACGGGAGGCAGCAGUGGGGAAUAUUGCACAAUGGGCGGAAGCCUGAUGCAGCAACGCCGCGUGCGGGAUGACGACCUUCGGGUUGUAAACCGCUUUCGCCUGUGACGAAGCGUGAGUGACGGUAGUGGGUAAAGAAGCACCGGCUAACUACGUG
rnacentral:rRNA from 1 species